rnacentral:rRNA from 1 species
UGCAGUCGACGCGCAGCGAGAGGUGCUUGCACCUUUCAAGCGAGUGGCGAACGGGUGAGUAACACGUGGAUAACCUGCCUCAAGGUUGGGGAUAACAUUUGGAAACAGAUGCUAAUACCGAAUAAAACUUAGUAUCGCAUGAUAUCAAGUUAAAAGGCGCUACGGCGUCACCUAGAGAUGGAUCCGCGGUGCAUUAGUUAGUUGGUGGGGUAAAGGCUUACCAAGACGAUGAUGCAUAGCCGAGUUGAGAGACUGAUCGGCCACAUUGGGACUGAGACACGGCCCAAACUCCUACGGGAGGCUGCAGUAGGGAAUCUUCCACAAUGGGCGCAAGCCUGAUGGAGCAACGCCGCGUGUGUGAUGAAGGCUUUCGGGUCGUAAAGCACUGUUGUAUGGGAAGAAAUGCUAAAAUAGGGAAUGAUUUUAGUUUGACGGUACCAUACCAGAAAGGGACGGCUAAAUACGUGCCAGCAGCCGCGGUAAUACGUAUGUCCCGAGCGUUAUCCGGAUUUAUUGGGCGUAAAGCGAGCGCAGACGGUUGAUUAAGUCUGAUGUGAAAGCCCGGAGCUCAACUCCGGAAUGGCAUUGGAAACUGGUUAACUUGAGUGUUGUAGAGGUAAGUGGAACUCCAUGUGUAGCGGUGGAAUGCGUAGAUAUAUGGAAGAACACCAGUGGCGAAGGCGGCUUACUGGACAACAACUGACGUUGAGGCUCGAAAGUGUGGGUAGCAAACAGGAUUAGAUACCCUGGUAGUCCACACCGUAAACGAUGAAUACUAGGUGUUAGGAGGUUUCCGCCUCUUAGUGCCGAAGCUAACGCAUUAAGUAUUCCGCCUGGGGAGUACGACCGCAGGGUUGAAACUCAAAGGAAUUGACGGGACCCGCACAAGCGGUGGAGCAUGGUGGUUUAAUUCGAAGCAACGCGAAGAACCUUACCAGGUCUUGACAUCCUUUGAAGCUUUUAGAGAAUAGAAGUGUUCUCUUCGGAGACAAGUGACAGUGUGCAUGUCGUCGUCAGCUCGUGUCGUGA